rnacentral:tRNA from 1 species
AUUCAAAUAGCUUAUAUUUAGAGCGUAACAUUGAAGAUGUUAAAGAGAUUAUAUAAAUCUUUGAGUA